UACGUAGGGUGCGAGCGUUAAUCGGAAUUACUGGGCGUAAAGCGUGCGCAGGCGGUUCGUUAUGUCCGAUGUGAAAGCCCCGAGCUUAACUUGGGAAUGGCAUUGGAAACUGGCGGGCUGGAGUGCGGCAGAGGGGGGUGGAAUUCCACGUGUAGCAGUGAAAUGCGUAGAGAUGUGGAGGAACACCGAUGGCGAAGGCAGCCAUCUGGACCGACACUGACGCUGAGGCGCGAAAGCGUGGGGAGCAAACAGG
rnacentral:rRNA from 1 species